rnacentral:rRNA from 1 species
GAUGAACGCUGGCGGCGUGCCUAAUACAUGCAAGUUGAGCGAUGAAGAUUGGUGCUUGCACCAAUUUGAAGAGCAGCGAACGGGUGAGUAACGCGUGGGGAAUCUGCCUUUGAGAGGGGGACAACAUCUGGAAACGAAUGCUAAUACCGCAUAACAACUUUAAACAUAUGUUUCAAGUUUGAAAGAUGCAAUUGCAUCACCUAAAGAUGAUCUCGCGUGGUAUUAGCUAGUUGGUGAGGUAAAGGCUUACCAAGGCAAGGAUACAUAGCCGACCUGAGAGGGUGAUCGGCCACAUUGGAACUGAGACACGGCCCACACUCCUACGGGAGGCAGCAGUAGGGAAUCUUCGGCAAUGGACGAAAGUCUGACCGAGCAACGCCGCGUGAGUGAAGAAGGUUUUCGGAUCGUAAAACUCUGUUGGUAGGGAAGAACGUUGGUGUGAGUAGAAAGGUCAGCAAGUAACGGAACCUACCCAGAAGGGAACGGCUAACUACGG